GAGAGCCCCGUCGUGCCCGGA
rnacentral:snRNA from 1 species